UCCUAUCAUGUCUGCAGAGCUCCAAGGCUGGGGGCGAUGUUGAGGCCGAAGCCAGCCACAGUGCCUCAGCUGUGCCUUUCCUGGAGAGCGGGUGGCCGCCCCCAGCACAUCCCUGGCACACGGGCUUGCAUAACAGACUCUUGUACCGCCAUCUCUAGCACAAGACCAUGGCCACAUCUCCCCAACCACUCAGCCCGCACAGCGUGCAAAGGUGGGGAGUUCACUUUAAUGGCAUUCCUCCAACGACUUAUUGUAAAAGAAACAAGGCAUCUCGUCCUGGGUCGCAACACCCAGCAGCAUCCGUUUAGACCACCAAGGGUAGGCUGCGCCGGGUGCACAGGGAUCCCGCUGCGGCUCGGCGAAAGCCGGAGUCCUGGGAUCCAGAGCAGCCCGGGGAGCCCUGGAGUCUGGAAAGGACACAGCAGUGGGGGCGGCGGCGGCAACUCCAGCUCUGAGCCCGUUGGCACCCCGCACGGUGGCCCCAGCCAGCUGGAGGCAGGCUCAGGAGCGGCUCCUGUCCUUGUGGUUCCCCACGAUCAUCUUGCUUUAUAAUUGGUUCUGCUCAGCAGGUUCCAGGACUCCAGUUCUUCUGCUGAGAAUCUCUUUGUCACCUCAUCAUCCAUAAUGGUCUCCAUUCCUUUCCGGCAAAAGUAGAAAAUGUCAGAGAGCUCGAACUCUGGAGUGUUGUCCAGAGCCUUACUACUACCACUUCGACGAAUCUCUUUGAUC
rnacentral:lncRNA from 1 species